ensembl:lncRNA
GCCCUCCCUACGUGUUCUAGCACCAGCGAAAGGGACAUGACUCUGGGCGGAGCACAGCCCCGGGGCACAGGAAGGCCAGGACCUGACCUGGAAACCGAGACUCAGGUCUGAGAAGGAGGCGCCUGACCAAGUGCUGUCCAGGGCCAGACGCUGGGGGAGCCCAGCUGGUGAGAGCAGUGGCCUGACCCUGACCCUCAGAGCGGCCAUCACAUGGAGCUUCAGGAAACACUCACUCCCUCUCCGCACCCCAGCCCCUGGCCCCCACCAUCUACUUCCUGUCUCUAUGGAUCUGACCCCUCCAGGAGCCUCAGGCUGGCAGAUGGACCUUGUGUAGAUGGACCACGUUUUGUCCGUGCAUCCAUCCACCCACGGGCCCUGGAGUGGUGUCCACCCGUUAGCAGUUGUGAGUAAUGCUGCUAUGAACACAGAUGUACUGAUAUAUCUCAAAAUACCUGUUUGAGGCCCUGCUUUCAAUUCCUUGGUGUCUAUACCUAGAAGUGAGUCAUAUGGAAAUUCUAUUUUUCACUUUUUGAGGAACCACCAUCCUGUGGUUGCACCACGGCAGUUGCACCACUUUACACGCUCGUUGUCACCAACACUUGUGUUCCCGUUUCUUUGUUUCUACAUCACAGUCAUCUCAGUGGGGGUGUGUGAUGAAAACUGCUAAGUGUCUAGGAAGUUUGAGGACCCCACCCACAUCCUCUAUCCCAGGAAAGCACUUGGCAAGCUCACUCCACCUCUUCUGACAUCAGCAUGUAUGUUGUUCUUGGAUGUUCCACGUAAAGUGAGUUGUAGACAUUUGGACACUGGAUCCCUGA